CCUACGUGAGGCAGCAGUGAGGAAUAUUGGUCAAUGGACGCAAGUCUGAACCAGCCAUGCCGCGUGCAGGAAGACGGCCCUCUGAGUUGUAACCUGCUUUUGUACGGGGGUAAAUCCCGAUACGUGUAUCGGGUUGAAAGUAUCGUACGAAUAAGGAUCGGCUAACUCCGUGCCAGCCGCCGCGGUAAUACGGAGGAUUCAAGCGUUAUCCGGAUUUAUUGGGCUUAAAGGGUGCGUAGCCGGUUCGAUAAGUUAGAUGUGAAAUCCCGGGUCUCAACUCCGGCACUGCCUCUGAUACUGUCGGGCUAGAGGUUAGUUGCGGGAGGCGGAAUGUAUGGUGUAGCGGUGAAAUGCAUAGAGAUCAUACAGAACACCGAUGGCGAAGGCAGCUUACCAAACUACGACUGACGUUGAGGCGCGAAAGCGUGGGGAGCAAACAGGAUUAGAUACCCCGGUAGUC
rnacentral:rRNA from 1 species